CCAGACUUGAAACACCGGUCCUCGUACGAUCACCGAAGUUAAGCAACGUCGAGCCUGGUCACUACCUAAAUGGGUGACCGCUUGUGU